rnacentral:misc_RNA from 1 species
CCCAACCGAAAGGAGGGGGAUGCCUAAGGUAGGACUGAUGACUGGGGUGAAGUCGUAACAAGGUAGCCGUACCGGAAGGUGUGGCUGGAUCACCUCCUUUUAGGGAGACCUAAUCCAUUUAGAAAUGUUAAGGAAAUUGCCAUAACAACCUAAAUUGGUCUAACCUAGGUCGGUCGAGAUUGGGGAAAUCUUUCAAAGUAUUAUUUGGCUUAGUUCAAACUAAAAAAACAUAUAGGAAAACCACAGCAACUAACGAAAGUUAGACUGCUGGAAUAAGUUCCAGUCAGAACCUUGAAAACUGCAUAAGAGAAAGAGUAAAAAAGCAGGCAGUCAUAACAGACUGCAAGUGGUCAAGAUAAUAAGAGCUAAUGGUG